AGUGAACGCGGCCGUGUAAUGCUGGCGAUCUUGUAGCAGGGCUGAUUAGCGAGUUGCUGCAACACCUCCGCAUAUUUCUUUUCCUGCUCCUCACUCACCUGCUUUGUCAAAAUGAACGAGAAGGAAUCGUGAUUGGGCUGUGCACCGAGGCGGCAAGGAAGCCCUGGGUGACUCUCUUAAUAGAGGCUGCUGAGGCUCCAGGGCCCACUUUCUCAGCCUCUCCUGCUGCUCAGGAUGAAAUAUGUAAUGUAGAAGAGACGUGGUUAGUCCUAAGGUCCUGCCUUAAAUGAUAAUGUGAUGGCCAUUAUCUGGAUUCUUCUUGCAAGUUCAGUAGCUCCAAGGUGUCAGGCCAGUGUCUGGGAUUCUCUUAACCUUUUGAUUUUCCCCUGGGAGUAAGACAGUUGCUGCAGCUCAGUCAGACCAAACCUCUCUGAAUACCACCAAAAAUCCGGGUCUUGUUCUGCCACCCAGGAUGGAGUGCAAUGGUACAAUAACAGCUCACUGCAGGCUUGACCUCCUGGGCUCAAGAGGUCCCCCUACCUCAGCCUUUUCAGUAGCUCAGACCACAGAGUCACCCAGGCUGGAGUGCAGUGGCACAAUCUCAGCUCACUGUGACCUCUGCCUCCUGAGUUCAGGCGAUUCUCUUGCCUCUGCCUUCUGAGUAGCUGAGAUUACAGGCACCCUCCACCAUGCCUGGCUAAUUUUUAAAAUAAUAUUUUUAGUAGAGAUGGGGAUUUGGCAUGUUGGUUAGGCUGCUCUCGAACUCCUGACCUCAAGCAAUCUACCCGUCUCAGCCUCCCAGAGUGCUGGGAUUACAGGUGUGAGCCACCGCACCCGGCCCUUAUGUUUUAUUUAUUCAUUUAACAAGCAUUUGGUGCAUGCUGCUGAGUGCCAGGCCUGAAGCCUGCUGUGAAGAUUUCAGAAGGGCCUGCCAAGCCGUCCCUGUCCUAAACAGCUCACUACCGAGCAUGCUUAUUUUGUAAGUGUUGUGCACUGGCUUCCUUCUUCCUUAAUCAGACCAUCUGUUGGAUCUCAUGGAACUGUCUCCUAUUUCUCUUUAAAUCAAGCCACAGUAUUUAACAUGUGGGGCCAUUGGUAACUUGCCAUCUACUCCCCUGCUGGAAGCCCAGGACCCUUAGACAUAAGAGGCGCUUUCUGACAUAAUAUCUUUCUGUAAGAUAGGCAGUGAGUCAGGAACUGGAGAAUUCCCAGGAAUGGUAGAAGGUGCUGGGACUGGCAUCAGAUAGGGAAAGGACUGACCAAGACCAGGACAGAACCAGAAGCACAAGGGAAGUGAAGAGGAGAGUCAUGACCACAAUCCCAAGGUAGACUGGACUGGAGCGUACGGAGAGUCUGACAGGGUAUGGGUGCUUGGGCAUCCAAGUUCAUCACGGAGCUACCAGGAGGAAGGAGAGCCUGGGUCUCAGCAAGGAUGUGGUCAGUACACCACAACAGGGCACACCCCUCCAGCGAGUGUGGACUAUGACCUACGGCAGGCCCAAGGGUCCCAGCCCAGUGGACAUGGCUUGCUGUAGCGCCAUGCACUGCCAGUCACCCUCUACCAAGCACAGGUCACCAACGAUGAAACAGCUACAGCCUCCCCCACUUCCCCCGUACUCCCCGUGCCCCCUUCUU